rnacentral:sRNA from 1 species
UGUAUCGGAAGCCUGACGAGGAUGAGAACCUCCGGGGGCAAGAGGUUCGACCCGAGCGAAGCGAGAAAACGUUGCGUCAGCAACGGCCCGCAGGGCGAGCCACGCAGUGGCGAGUCAUCCUCUAUCACCGACCA